rnacentral:rRNA from 1 species
GUGGGGAAUAUUGGACAAUGGGCGAAAGCCUGAUCCAGCCAUGCCGCGUGUGUGAAGAAGGUCUUCGGAUUGUAAAGCACUUUAAGUUGGGCGGAAGGGCAGUAAGUUAAUACCUUGCUGUUUUGACGUUACCGACAGAAUAAGCACCGGCUAACUUCGUGCCAGCAGCCGCGGUAAUACGAAGGGUGCAAGCGUUAAUCGGAAUUACUGGGCGUAACGCGCGCGUAGGUGGUUUUGUAAGUUGGAGGUGAAAUCCCCGUGCUCAACCUGGGAACUGCCUCCAAAACUGCAUGACUAGAGUACGGUAGAGGGUAGUGGAAUUUCCUGUGUAGCGGUGAAAUGCGUAGAUAUAGGAAGGAACACCAGUGGCGAAGGCGACUACCUGGACUGAUACUGACACUGAGGUGCGAAAGCGUGGGGAGCAAACAGGAUUAGAAACCCCUGUAGUCC